UACGGAGGGCGCAAGCGUUUUUCGGAAUUACUGGGCGUAAAGCGCGUGUAGGUGGCCUGAAAAGUCGGGUGUGAAAUCCCGGAGCUCAACUCCGGAACUGCAUCCGAUACUGCCAGGCUCGAGUCUCGGAGAGGAUGGCGGAAUUUCCGGUGUAGAGGUGAAAUUCGUAGAUAUCGGAAGGAACACCAGUGGCGAAGGCGGCCGUCUGGACGAUGACUGACACUGAGACGCGAAAGCGUGGGGAGCAAACAGG
rnacentral:rRNA from 1 species